GACGAACGCUGGCGGCGUGCUUAACACAUGCAAGUCGAACGGAAAGGCCCCUUUGGGGGUACUCGAGUGGCGAACGGGUGAGUAACACGUGAGUAACCUGCCCUUGACUUCGGGAUAACUUCAGGAAACUGGGGCUAAUACCGGAUAGGAAUCCUUGCUGCAUGGUGGGGGUUGGAAAGCUUCGGCGGUUUUGGAUGGACUCGCGGCUUAUCAGCUUGUUGGUGGGGUAGUGGCUUACCAAGGCUUUGACGGGUAGCCGGCCUGAGAGGGCGACCGGCCACAUUGGGACUGAGAUACGGCCAGACUCCUACGGGAGGCAGCAGUGGGGAAUAUUGCACAAUGGGCGGAAGCCUGAUGCAGCAACGCCGCGUGCGGGAUGACGGCCUUCGGGUUGUAAACCGCUUUCAGCAGGGGCGAAGCUUGUGGUGACGGUACCUGCAGAAGAAGCACCGGCUAACUACGUG
rnacentral:rRNA from 1 species